GAUGAAGAACGUAGCGAAAUGCGAUAAGUAGUGUGAAUUGCAGAAUUCAGUGAAUCAUCGAAUCUUUGAACGCUCAUUGCGACCUUUGGUAUUCCUUAGGGCAUGCCUGUUCGAGCGUCAUUUAAACCUUCAAGCUAAGCUUGGUGUUGGGUGACUGUCCGCUUCACGGCGGACUCGCCUCAAAAUUAUUGGCGGCCGGUACAUUGGCUUCGAGCGCAGCAGAAACGCGAACUCGGGCCCGUCGUAUUGGCUCCCAGAAGCUAUCUUCACAAUUUUGACCUCGGAUCAGGUAGGGAUACCCGCUGAACUUAAGCAUAUCAAUAAGCGGAGGA
rnacentral:misc_RNA from 1 species